GAUGAACGCUGGCGGCGUGCCUAAUACAUGCAAGUCGAGCGAACAGACGAGGAGCUUGCUCCUCUGACGUUAGCGGCGGACGGGUGAGUAACACGUGUAUAACCUACCUAUAAGACUGGGAUAACUUCGGGAAACCGGAGCUAAUACCGGAUAAUAUAUUGAACCGCAUGGUUCAAUAGUGAAAGACGGUUUUGCUGUCACUUAUAGAUGGAUCCGCGCCGCAUUAGCUAGUUGGUAAGGUAACGGCUUACCAAGGCAACGAUGCGUAGCCGACCUGAGAGGGUGAUCGGCCACACUGGAGCUGAGACACGGUCCAGACUCCUACGGGAGGCAGCAGUAGGGAAUCUUCCGCAAUGGGCGAAAGCCUGACGGAGCAACGCCGCGUGAGUGAUGAAGGUCUUCGGAUCGUAAAACUCUGUUAUUAGGGAAGAACAAAUGUGUAAGUAACUAUGCACGUCUUGACGGUACCUAAUCAGAAAGCCACGGCUAACUACGUG
rnacentral:rRNA from 1 species